rnacentral:rRNA from 1 species
UACGUAGGGUGCAAGCGUUGUCCGGAAUUAUUGGGCGUAAAGAGCUCGUAGGCGGUUUGUUGCGUCGGCUGUGAAAUCCCGAGGCUCAACCUCGGGUCUGCAGUCGAUACGAGCAAACUAGAGUGUUGCAGGGGAGACUGGAAUUCCUGGUGUAGCGGUGAAAUGCGCAGAUAUCUGGAGGAACACCGGUGGCGAAGGCGGCAUCCUGGACCGGCAUUGACGCUGAGGCGCGAAAGCCAGGGGAGCAAACGGG